rnacentral:rRNA from 1 species
AGAAUGAACGCUGGCGGCGCGCCUAAUACAUGCAAGUCGAGCGAGAAGACGUAGCAAUACGUUUGUAAAGCGGCGAACGGGUGAGGAAUACAUGGGUAACCUACCCUCGAGUGGGGAAUAACUAGCCGAAAGGUUAGCUAAUACCGCGUACGCUCCUUGGACUUCGGUUCAGGGAGGAAAGCGAUACCGUGGGUAUCGCGCUCUUGGUUGGGCUCAUGUCCUAUCAGCUUGUUGGUGAGGUAACGGCUCACCAAGGCUUCGACGGGUAGCUGGUCUGAGAGGACGAUCAGCCACACUGGCACUGCGACACGGGCCAGACUCCUACGGGAGGCAGCAGUAAGGAAUAUUGCGCAAUGGGCGAAAGCCUGACGCAGCGACGCCGCGUGGGGGAUGAAGGUCUUCGGAUUGUAAACCCCUUUCGGGAGGGAAGAUGGAAUGGGGUAACCCAUUCGGACGGUACCUCCAGAAGCAGCCACGGCUAACUUCGUGCCAGCAGCCGCGGUAAUACGAAGGUGGCAAGCGUUAUUCGGAUUUACUGGGCGUACAGGGAGCGUAGGCGGUUCGGUAAGCCCUCUGUGAAAUCUCCAGGCUUAACCUGGAACAGUCGGAGGGGACUGCUGGGCUAGAGGAUGGGAGAGGAGCGCGGAAUUCCCGGUGUAGCGGUGAAAUGCGUAGAGAUCGGGAGGAAGGCCGGUGGCGAAGGCGGCGCUCUGGAACGUUUCUGACGCUGAGGCUCGAAAGCGUGGGGAGCAAACAGGAUUAGAUACCCUGGUAGUCCACGCCUUAAACUAUGAAUACUAAGUGUCGGCGGGUUACCGCCGGUGCCGCAGCUAACGCAUUAAGUAUCCGC